rnacentral:rRNA from 1 species
GAUCCUGGCUCAGGAUGAACGCUGGCGGUAUGCUUAUACAUGCAAGUCGUACGAGAGUUUUAACUCAAGUGGCGGACGGGUGAGUAACACGUAAGAAUUUGCCUUUAGGAGGGGGAUAACAACUGGAAACAGUUGCUAAUACCCCAUAUGCUUUCUAGUGAAAUGGACUUUUCCGCCUAAAGAGAAGCUUGCGGCUGAUUAGCUUGUUGGUAAGGUAAUGGCUUACCAAGGCGACGAUCAGUAUCUGGUUUGAGAGGACGAUCAGACACACUGGAACUGAGACACGGUCCAGACUCCUGCGGGAGGCAGCAGUAGGGAAUUUUCCGCAAUGGGCGAAAGCCUUGACGGAGCAAUACCGCGUGAGGGAUGACGGCCUAUGGGUUGUAAACCUCUUUUUCAGGGAGGAACAAAAUGACGUGUACCUGAAGAAUAAGCAUCGGCUAACUCCGUGCCAGCCGCCGC